AACGGUACAAAGCCCAUGAUUAUUGGAAUAAAUCAAGACCCUCAUGCCAGGCUCUUGAAGCCCAACAACUUAUUGUCUAUCCAAAGCCCUGAAGAGCCCACGAAGAACCCCUAAAUGGGUCUUCCCUGUAACCUCCCAACCCUAGCCCGUCUCUCCCGAUCUCACAUCAUAAAUUUUCCGGCGGCGACGAUUUCGGUUCCUACGACGCCGUCGGCGGCGCAAAUCCGGGGUCGUUUGUCUGCUCGAAUCCGCUGGAGGAUCUAUUCUAGCAUCUCCGCGUGAAGCCAAUGGCUCGGCAAACGACGAUGCGGCAGACAAGCUACGACGAGCCGAAGAGAGGCGGGAGGUAGAGGAGGCUUUAGAAACAGGUUACUGAUUGUUCUUCUUUCUUGUUUAAUAACAAAUUUGGUGGUUUAUAUGGCGGCAUCGUUACAUAUCUUGUGGUCAUGAAGUGCAAGAGCAAACCAAGCUUGUCUGUCUAGGUCUGGUGAAAUGUUACAUAGUCUGAUAUUCAAUGACUGUUAUCCA